rnacentral:lncRNA from 1 species
GCGCAUGUUUUCUAUCGGCAAAUGCAGUCAUCGGUUUUGCUUUCAGUGUGUGAAGCAACAUGUAGAGGUGAAGCUGCUUCACGGAAUGAUUCCGAAUUGUCCUCAUGAUAAAUGCAAGUCUGAGAUGGUGAUCGAUGCGUGUGGCAAGCUUUUGACUCCGAAAUUGGGUGAAAUGUGGAAGCAAAGGAUCAAGGAGAACGCAAUACCUGUCACCGAGAGAGUUUACUGUCCUUACCUGAAGUGUUCGGCUUUGAUGUCCAAAACCAAGAUAUCUGAAUCGGCCAAGAGCUUACAGUCUGCUUACCCUGCAUCUGGAGUCAGGAGAUGUGUCGAAUGUCGUGGCCUUUUCUGUGUGGACUGUAAAGUCCCGUGGCAUGGGAAGCUGUCAUGCGCCGAGUACAAAAAACUGCAUCCUAAUCCUCCAGCAGAUGAUGUGAAGCUAAAGUCUCUGGCGAAUAAUAAAAUGUGGCGCCAAUGUGGUAAGUGCCAGCACAUGAUUGAACUUAGUCAAGGAUGCAAUCACAUAACUUGCAGGUAUCUUCUUAACACUUUGAUCAACCUAAGAAACCUUUGGAAUCAGAUAGAUCAUCAAACUUCAAAGCAUGUGUGGUACAUUUCAUUCUUUCCUUGUUUAACCAUAUUGGUGGCAUAUUCCCUUUUGGUAUUCUCGUUAGAUGUGGGCAUGAGUUUUGCUACAACUGUGGAGGAGGAUGGAACAAAAUAACAGGGACUUGUGCUAAGCAAUGCCCGACCUGGGACGAAGCAUACAUCAUGCGUCAAGAUCCAGCUCCAGCGCGUGUGUAUGUGUUGCCUAACAACUACUUUGAUGAUUAUGAUGAGGAUGAAUAUGAUGAGGAUGAAUAUGAUGAUUAUGAAGCUGAUGAAGAUUUUGGUUACGGCUAUGGUGACUUCCCCUUUAAUUUGGAGCACCAUAUGAAUGAUGUUAAUCCUGAAGCGCCCUUUGAUCUGCCAGAUGGUAAUAUUUCCCUUCUAAAUCUCUAUAAAACCCUUGAAUCUCAUUAGUUUUUUUUUCCGUACUGAAAUCACUCUUUAAGAAGAAGAAGAAGAAGAAGAAGAAGAAGAAGAAGAAGAAGAAGAAGAUGAGGAAGUGGAAGAAGAAGAAGAAGAAGAGGAAGUGGAAGAAGAAGAAGAAGAUGAGGAAGUGGAAGAAGAAGAAGAAGAAGAAGAAGAAGAAGAAGAUGAGGAAGUGGAAGAAGAAGAAGAAGAUGAGGAAGUGGAAGAAGAUGAGGAAGUGGACGACUGCCCUUCCUUUGGAACUGAUGAAGAGUACGAUAUAGUAUAUGACUCGGACGGCUAUGAAAGCGAGGAUUACUAUUGAGGUGUAACUAUCGAGGUGUAAUUUGGAACCAAAGUUGUUCUCUUUCGCUUUAUGAUCCAUCGACUGUAAAUUUAUUGGUGGAUCAUAUGUUUUUAUGACUUGUUGCGUUUGAGUUUGGGAGAUUCAGGAGUGAGAAAUUUGUAGAAACCUUGGUUUGAAGGUAAAGCUUUGUUUUGCAUACAAAUGUCAUUGACGAAACUGUCACAUAUAACUUUUAAAUCACCGAGAAGCAAAUGUUUGAUUAAAACCCUCAUUUAUUUUUGAAUCGUUGAGAAUUAAGGAGAACGCAAUACCUGUCACAGAGAGAGUGUGGAAGCUUUUGACUCCAACUAUUUUCGAUGCAUGUGGCAAGCUUUUGACUCCGAAAUUGGGUGAAAUGUGGAAGCAGAGAAUUAAGGAGAACGCGAUACCUGUCACAGAGAGAGUGUAUUGUCCUUACGUGAGGUGUUCUGCUUUGAUGUCCAAAACCAAGAUAUCUGAAUCGGCCAAGAGCUUACAGUCUGCUUACCCUGCAUCUGGAGUCAGGAGAUGUGUGGAAUGUCGUGGCCUCUUCUGUGUGGACUGUAAAGUCCCGUGGCAUGGAAAGCUGUCAUGCACCGAGUACAAGAAACUGCAUCCUAAUCCUCCAGCAAAUGAUAUUGAUAUGAAGCUAAAAUCUCUGGCAAAUAAUAAAAUGUGGCGCCAAUGUGGCAAGUGCCAACACAUGAUCGAGCUUACUCAAGGAUGCAGGUAUCUCUCUUUAACACUUUGAUUAUCUUAUAAUCAUAUUUAUAAAAUGGUCAAGUCGAAUAGUAUACUUUUCUGUGAUGAGGAAAGGUUUGUAUACUCUGUUGUUAUAGCUUUCUGAUUCAUUGUAUGUAUUGUUAAUCUAGAAUCUUACUUAAUGGUAAUCACAUAACUCAACAAUGGAUAAAACAAUAUAUUUUUUGUUAAUUGCUACAGAUUGAACUAGGCAUCUUUCUUAUGUCAUUCAACUUGAUCUCAAUUUAAGGUUUAUCUGUCACAUUUUUAUUCAUAUUCAAAUCAACUUGUAUUUUAUUUUUAUUAUUAUAUAAUAAUUAGGACGGUUGUACUCUCUGAUUAUGAUAUUCUUCCUUAAAAAUCUAGUCUUAAAUGAUAUUCUUCCUUAAAAAUCUAGUCUUAAAUCUCUAGACUAUUUUCUAUUGAUUGUGAGCUGUCUUGUGACAUUCACAGACAUUACAAUAAAGAAGGAAACACUGUUAUUGGGUGCUCACUCUAUUCACAACAUUCAUAAACUCUUUCUCUUGUAGUAGAUUCAUAAAUUGGUUCCGCAAGAGCAUUCGUUUCAGCACCUUUCCAUUUCCAUCUCGGUGCCAUGGAAUAAAACUGCAUAUAGCAUUAAAAAAUCAAACCCUUUGAGCAUAAAACAUAUAUAUAAAUAAAGCAAAAUAUUAGCAGCCACAAGUAUUACACACUAGCAUCAUGCGGGCAUUGUCUGUAACACAUGUUUCUAACAAUUGACAUACUUGGAAGAACCCAAUUUAGAGCUGAACUGAACAAAGCCAAGAACUUUUGCGCUAGAGUCAAAGGAAAAAAUGCAGAGUCAGGAUUAUUAUCUAUUACUAGCAAUCCAAUGAGGCAUACAUAGACACACCAAUUUCAUCUCAAAUUGCAUCUUAGCGUGCCUAUACAUACUUAAUUAAAUGCACCAAAUAAACUCAAAACUUCAUGAAGAGUCACUCACAAUGUGAUUGAUUUGAACUUUGAAGUGUAAUAAAAUGAGCGGAAUCAAAGGUUAUUAAUUACCUUGAUUAUCGUAAUUUAUUCUGAUUUUCAAAAGAAAAACCAGUAAAUUCUUUUGACGAAGGUAAGGCAAGAGGCGUCUUAACGUAAACCAUUGGCAAAAUUUCCGGUUAAAGUUUCGAUUACAAUCCAAUGACGCCCGGCCCACACGUGCGUGGACUUUCCCCACGUGCGGAUUUUGAGGGUCUCCUCUCUAUAUUAAAAAAAAAAAAAUGUAGGACACGACGUAAAAGCUUAAAAAGCACUCGUCACGAAGAGAAAACAAAAAAGGGAGUGUUUUUUUGAAUCGCUGCAGCUACCAAUGGAGUUCUUGGGAGGUCGCGAUACCGAUUCCGAAUACGCUUUCCGAUUGCAGAUGGAGGAGGCCCUCGCUGCUUCCCUCGCUUCCCGAUCUCGUGCUCCACCGUCGCCUCCCGUUGUCGCUAGGAGUGGAUUCGCUGUCGUGGUGGAGGAUGAGGAGAUCGCGCGUCAAAGAAACACCGGCGGCGGAGAAGGUAACUCGAGAGGAAAAGGGAAAACCCACCACGAGACAGUCUCUGGUAUACGGAGAGACGAUCGAAACCCUAACAGUAAUGCUUCUGCGUACGUUGGUGAUGCCGUGAGGAGGGGGAGUUUCAGGGGAGACUUGAUGUACAGGCUUUACUUCAAGGGUUUGGUGAGCGAGGAGACUGGGACUGGUAAGGGGAAGGGGAAGGUGAGUGACGUGGCGGCUGGGUUUGGGGUAGCGAUUUGCGACCAGAGGGAUGCUCUGUUGUUUGAGUCCAAGGGACAGCUGGCUGGCCGUGGCGCGAAUCGUCAGGGAGCGGAGAUUCAGGCGUUGACAAUAGGGUUGACCGAAGCAUGGAAGCUGGGGAUCAAACACGUUUCUAUCUUCUGCGAUUCUUUUCCCAUCUUCCAAUUCGUAAAGUUUCCUACUUUUUCCUUUUUCUUUAUUGUUACGCUUCACUCUUACUUGCUUUUGUUGAAUGGUGUGUUCGUUUUACUUUUGUUUACUCGAUGCAUCAUGUAGAAAUAGUGAUGAGCUGAUAAGUUCAAGUUUCCCCUUUUGUUCCUGAAUCUACUGAUGUAGUUAAUGUGUGUUCGAUGAUGUGCUAAUCUGAUUGAAGAGCUGCACUGACUACUCUAUCAUUCUAUAUCGUGACCUUUUUGUAAGCCAUUGUUGUCUCUCUUUUCCUUGAAAUAUAAAGAAGUUUGUUGAGCUACCUUUGCUAGCUUAUUAGAGAGUUAGACUGUUAAGUUCUAAGCUCAUUUGCUUGUGUUUUGUGCAAUGGGUUAUGCUUUCUCUACCUAGCUUUUCAUUUUCUGUGUGUUCAUAAGAUUUUCAUUUUAUUUGAAUGCAGGUCAGGGGAAGCUGGACGCCUAAGCAAAAAAAGAUUGCCAUGCUAAUGGAUGAUUUGAAACGGAUCAGGCAACAAUUCUCGUUUACUCAAGCUGUUCUGGUGGCUGGAAACGAAGUGAAAUAUGCUUAUAAACUCGCUAGGGAAUCAAUUGUUUCGCAAGCAACCCCUCAAGACAACCCCCGCCAAGCUAAAGUAGCUGCUAGGAAAGAAGAGUGUCUUAUCUGUUUUAACGAUAUCGAUCCUGAGCGCAUGUUUUCUAUCGGCAAAUGCAGUCAUCGGUUUUGCUUUCAGUGUGUGAAGCAACAUGUAGAGGUGAAGCUGCUUCACGGAAUGAUUCCGAAUUGUCCUCAUGAUAAAUGCAAGUCUGAGAUGGUGAUCGAUGCGUGUGGCAAGCUUUUGACUCCGAAAUUGGGUGAAAUGUGGAAGCAAAGGAUCAAGGAGAACGCAAUACCUGUCACCGAGAGAGUUUACUGUCCUUACCUGAAGUGUUCGGCUUUGAUGUCCAAAACCAAGAUAUCUGAAUCGGCCAAGAGCUUACAGUCUGCUUACCCUGCAUCUGGAGUCAGGAGAUGUGUGGGAUGUCGUGGUCUCUUCUGUGUGGACUGUAAAGUCCCGUGGCAUGGGAAGC